AUUGAACGCUGGCGGCAGGCCUAACACAUGCAAGUCGAGCGGCAGCGGAAGGAAGCUUGCUUUCUUGCCGGCGAGCGGCGGACGGGUGAGUAAGGUAUGGGGAUCUGGCCGAAGGCGGGGGAUAACCACUGGAAACGGUGGCUAAUACCGCAUAAUCUCUAAGGAGCAAAGUGGGGGACCGUUCAGGCCUCACACCUUCGGAUGAACCCAUAUGAGAUUAGCUAGUAGGUGGGGUAAUGGCUCACCUAGGCGACGAUCUCUAGCUGGUCUGAGAGGAUGAUCAGCCACACUGGGACUGAGACACGGCCCAGACUCCUACGGGAGGCAGCAGUGGGGAAUAUUGCACAAUGGGCGCAAGCCUGAUGCAGCCAUGCCGCGUGUAUGAAGAAGGCCUUCGGGUUGUAAAGUACUUUCAGUCGUGAGGAAGGUGUUAAGGUUAAUAACCUUAGCAAUUGACGUUAGCGACAGAAGAAGCACCGGCUAACUCCGUGCCAGCAGCCGCAGUAA
rnacentral:rRNA from 1 species